UACGGAGGGGUGCAAGCGUUGCUCGGAAUUGAUUGGGCGUAAAGGGCAAGUAGGUGGUCUCAUUUGUCUGGGGUGAAAGCCUUGAGCUUAACUCAAGAAGUGCCCCGGAAACGGUGAGACUCGAGUAUUGGAGAGGGUCGUGGAAUUCCCGGUGUAGCGGUGAAAUGCGUAGAGAUCCGGAAGAACACCAGUGGCGAAGGCGGCUGUCUGGUCCGGUUCUGACGCUGAGGCGCGAAAGCGUGGGGAGCAAACAGG
rnacentral:rRNA from 1 species